CGGGAGAAGACAAGGCAUGUGGGGCAAAGAGAAUGGGAGCUGGACUGGAGAAAGGACCCCUGGCCAUCUCCUUUGUCCAUUCACGAUUCUGGUGCAAGCGGCGCUGCUUACAAUGAUUCGCUUUCUCUGCCAUCAGUGGAGAUGAAGCCAAGAACAUCCGACUGAGAAGUCAAGCCAUUCACAUAUCAGUUUGGACUGCCAAGAACUUACCUCACUGCCAGAAAUCAGAGAUCAUUCCUCUAUCCACAGUGCUCAUGGGAGAGGUAGGUAGUAGGAGAAGACAAGAAAUUUCCCUGGCUCCAGAUCAUCCCUGCAAACUGCAAACAGUUGAGGUCUUGGGAAAGGAGGUCUAAUGGAACUAUGGGGUGAGGAGAGAACGAGCAUCCGUGAUGUCGAUGAGGGCAAGAGCUAGGAAGGGCCUGGGCCUCCUGCUGCUGCUGCUGGGCACAUCCAUGGGAACUGAGCUCUCUGGGGCAUAUGUUAGUAAAGUCUCUCCCUCAAACUGUCUUCUUUAUCAGCCCCCAAAUCAA
rnacentral:lncRNA from 1 species